AGAGUUUGAUCAUGGCUCAGGAUGAACGCUAGCUACAGGCCUAACACAUGCAAGUCGCGGGGCAGCAUUGAGGUAGCAAUACCUCAGAUGGCGACCGGCGCACGGGUGCGUAACGCGUAUCCAACCUGGCCCUUACUCGGGUAUAGCCCUGCGAAAGUAGGAUUAAUCCCCGAUGUUGUCAAGAUGGAGCCUUUUUUCUUGACCAAAGGCAUUAGUCGGUAAGGGAUGGGGAUGCGUUCCAUUAGCUAGUUGGCGGGGUAACGGCCCACCAAGGCGACGAUGGAUAGGGGUUCUGAGAGGAAGGUCCCCCACACUGGAACUGAGACACGGUCCAGACUCCUACGGGAGGCAGCAGUGAGGAAUAUUGGUCAAUGGUCGCGAGACUGAACCAGCCAAGUAGCGUGAAGGAUGACAGCCCUCCGGGUUGUAAACUUCUUUUGCUGGAGAUUAAGAUGCGCCACUAGUGGCGUAGUGCAGUAAUCCAGCGAAUAAGCAUCGGCUAACUCCGUGCCAGCAGCCGCGGUAAUACGGAGGAUGCGAGCGUUAUCCGGAUUUAUUGGGUUUAAAGGGAGCGUAGAUGGGAGCUUAAGCCAGUUGUGAAAAGCGCGGGCCCAACCCGCGUCGUGCAAUUGGAACUGUGUUCCUUGAGUGGGUUCGGGGCAGGUGGAAUUCGUGGUGUAGCGGUNAANUNNUUAGAUAUCACGAAGAACUCCGACAGCGUANGCAUCCUGCCNNGGCCCUUNCUGACAUUGAAGCUNGNAAGGUGCGGGUAUCAAAACANGNNUUAGAUACCCUGGUAGUCCGCACGGNNAANACGAUGGAUGCCCCGCUGUCGGCGACAGACAGUCGGCGGGCCAAGCGAAAGCGUUAAGCAUCCCACCUGGGGAGUACGCCGGCAACGGUGAAACUCAAAGGAAUUGACGGGGGCCCGCACAAGCGGAGGAACAUGUGGUUUAAUUCGAUGAUACGCGAGGAACCUUACCCGGGCUUGAAUUGCAGGAGAAUCGUUCAGAGAUGGUUGAGUCCUUUAUGGACUCCUGUGAAGGUGCUGCAUGGUUGUCGUCAGCUCGUGCCGUGAGGUGUCGGCUCAAGUGCCAUAACGAGCGCAACCCCUGCCGUCAGUUGCCAUCGGGUAAUGCCGGGCACUCUGUCGGGACUGCCGUCGUAAGGCGUGAGGAGGGUGGGGAUGACGUCAAAUCAGCACGGCCCUUACGUCCGGGGCUACACACGUGUUACAAUGGGGGGCACAGCGGGACGCUACCCGGCGACGGGGCGCGGAUCCAUUAAAUCCCCUCCCAGUUCGGACUGGAGUCUGCAACCCGACUCCACGAAGCUGGAUUCGCUAGUAAUCGCGCAUCAGCCAUGGCGCGGUGAAUACGUUCCCGGGCCUUGUACACACCGCCCGUCAAGCCAUGAAAGCCGGGGGUGCCUGAAGUGCGUUCCCUCAAGGGUCGCCCUAGGGUAAAACCGGUGAUUGGGGCUAAGUCGUAACAAGGUAACCGUA
rnacentral:rRNA from 1 species